AAAGAUUGGGUAUGUUGUUCCACUUGACAAGAAUUCUCCCCUAUCAUUAUUCCUUGCAACUCUUGUUCUACAGGACUCAACAUGAGACUAAAAAUAGAAUGAGCAAAAUAUAGAUGUUUCCUUAGUUAGGAAUGCUUCACAGAUGCUGCCCUCAAUCCGAGAUCAUUAAUCACUACAAGAGAGGCGGAGAAUAGCGGCCAAACAUUGCCAGCCUUUUACCCAACCGCUGCAAAUUUCAGGGAUACCAGCAAUUGAUUUUCAUGUGCCGCUAAUCAGGAUCUUUAUUAUCAUCAUUUAUCCUAUCUCUUUUUUAUGAGUUUAUCUUAUAACUAAUAAUUCUCCUAAAGUUGCAGAAACCGGCGAACUGAGAUUGGUAGCGCACGAAGCCCUGACAUUGCUGCUCCACUGUGCGCCACUGCUGCCCAGCUAUCCUCCUCUCUCCGGCGUCGACCUUUCGCUCUCCUCCACAGUGCGUGAAACCCCUACUCCCUCCUCCUCCAGGGUGCACGAAAUCCCUAAUCUCUGCUCCACCCUGCACCUCUAUGGGGUUUGGGAGUCGCGCGGCUGCCAUCCAUCCUUCUCUUCCCGGCGUCGACCUUUCGGAUCUCCUCCACAGUGCGCGAAACCCCUGCUUCCUCCUCCACGAUUUGCUACACUUCUUUGGCAAUUAAAGCAAGUGUUUCAGAGGGAGCUUCGAGAGGUUCUCCAGGACCUUCAGAAUAAGUCCUUGCUCCAAGACUGGCACCAACCGCAAUUUUGGAAGCAACUUAAAACUCUCGCCAAUUCAGGUAGUUUUUACAUUGUAGAGAUUAACCUAUAUACAACUUUCAUUUGGUAACUAACUUUGUCAAUUUCAUAAUAAAAUAUAUGCCAUUAUGGUUAGAGUCAUACCUUGCCUUGAGAUAAGGCCUGGACAGUUUUUGUAAGAGUUUGG